rnacentral:rRNA from 1 species
AGCGGUAAGGCCCCUCCGGGUAGCACAGCGAGCGGCGAACGGGUGAGCCUCCUACUAGAGAGCAACCUGCCCCUGACUCCGGGAUAAGCGGCGGAACACUGCCGUCGUAAUACCGGAUACGACCCUCCGGCUCAUGCCGUGGGGGUGGAAAGUUUUUUCGGUUGGGGAUGGGCUCGCGGCCUAUCAGCUUGUUGGUGGGGUAAAGGCCUACCAAGGCGAUUACGGGUAGCCGGCCUGAGAGGGCGACCGGCCACACUGGGACUGAGACACGGCCCAGACUCCUGCGGGAGGCAGCAGUGGGGAAUCUUGCGCAAUGGGCGAAAGCCUGACGCAGCGACGCCGCGUGGGGGAUGACGGCCUUCGGGUUGUAAACUCCUUUUACCACUCACGCAGGCUCCCAGUUCUCUGGGGGUUGACGGUAGGUGGGGAAUAAGGACCGGCUAACUACGUGCCAGCAGCCGCGGUAAUACGUAGGGUCCGAGCGUUGUCCGGAAUUAUUGGGCGUAAAGAGCUCGUAGGCGGCGUGUCGCGUCUGCUGUGAAAGACCGGGGCUCAACUCCGGUUUUGCAGUGGAUACGGGCAUGCUAGAGGUAGGUAGGGGAGACUGGAAUUCCUGGUGUAGCGGUGGAAUGCGCAGAUAUCAGGAGGAACACCGGUGGCGAAGGCGGGUCUCUGGGCCUUACCUGACGCUGAGGAGCGAAAGCAUGGGGAGCGAACAGGAUUAGAUACCCUGGUAGUCCAUGCCGUAAACGAUGGGCGC